UACGUAGGGGGCAAGCGUUGUCCGGAUUUAUUGGGCGUAAAGAGCGCGCAGGCGGUCGUUCAAGUCGAGUGUGAAAGCCCCCGGCUCAACUGGGGAGGGUCAUUCGAUACUGAUCGACUCGAAGGCAGGAGAGGGUAGUGGAAUUCCCGGUGUAGUGGUGAAAUGCGUAGAUAUCGGGAGGAACACCAGUGGCGAAGGCGACUACCUGGCCUGUUCUUGACGCUGAGGCGCGAAAGCUAGGGGAGCAAACGGG
rnacentral:rRNA from 1 species